UUAAGUCACAUCAUUUAUUUAAGUAGGGUUUCUUGUGAGGUCCCUAGCAAAUUACAGAUUUACAGCUGGCAAAGGAGAAAGGCCAUGUCCGUUUAGUACUUAAGCAGGAUUCAGUGCUUUUUCAACAUUCUUAGUUGAAAGUCUUUUCAUAUAAAGGGCAUGUUGUCUCUAGCUGAGCAACUUUGUACAAAUGCUAAUUGUCCUGAAAAUCUUGACUCAGCUGGUGGAGCGCCUUAACUGGACUUGGGAGAGAAGUACUCUUUCCCUUCCCAUGUCCCUCAACUUUGCAUCGUUCUCUACUGCUUUAUAUUUACCACCUAAACUAUUUAAAUAAACUAUACUCUUUACUUUUAUCUUGAGGGGAUUAUUAUUUUCGGGUUACUAUUGACGUUUGCCUGGGCAUAACAGCUAAAGCAAGGGAUACACUAAGCACUUUAACGUUAGUUUUGUUUUGUUUUUUUAAUCGUGCGUGUGCAUGUCCUUGGAGCUGGUUUUCUGCUUCCAACUCGGGUCAUCAGGGUUGGUAUCAAGUGUCUUCACCCACUUAACUAUCCGCCCCGUAAAGCCUUAGUUCUUGAACGAAUGAAAGGGUGACAUAGUGUGUGGCGUGUACGGGGUGCAGCUUGGCUGACACGCUACAGAGAAUCCUGGGGAGGUACUGGCUUAGACACCGCCAUCCCAGACGCCAAGGUAAGGCUUCAUCUAACACUAAUUUACAGCCGCAGUCCGAGGACAGACAAAGAACGCAGGCCAACCAGGCACGACGCCACUGCGCAGUCGCAGGAGCUAGUUGGGACUUGCGUAGCUCUGCCGCUGGGAGGGUCCGCGCAGGCGUAGAGAGAGUUGGCGACACCGAUCGCGCUCUAGUCUGCGCUUCCGGCGCCGGGCCUGUGGCGUUCCGCAGUCCUGCGUGUAUUUACCUCCUACUCCUCAUCCGCUGCUAGGCAACCGGCCGGCCAAGCUGCUUGCCUUGCGCCUGCGUCGGGCAUCUGUCUUCCGCCCCUAGCUGGCGCCAUCAUGCUGCUGCCUGUGUUCACUCUGAAACUGCGCCACAAAAUCAGCCCCCGCAUGGUGGCCAUAGGGCGCUACGACGGGACUCACCCGUGCUUGGCUGCCGCCACCCAAGCGGGCAAGGUUUUCAUUCAUAACCCUCACACGCGGAGCCAGCAUUUCAGUGCUUCCAGAGUGUUCCAGAGCCCUCUGGAGUCUGAUGUCUCUCUGCUCAACAUUAACCAGACGGUCAGCUGCCUGGGUUCGGGAGUCUUGAACCCUGAGCUUGGCUAUGAUACUCUUUUAGUGGGGACACAGACCAGUCUUUUGGCUUACGACAUCUACAAUAAUUCAGAUUUGUUCUACAGAGAGGUCUCAGAUGGGGCAAAUGCCAUUGUGCUGGGGACCCUGGGAGACAUUGCCCCACCUCUUGCAAUCAUCGGUGGAAACUGUGCUCUGCAGGGUUUCGAUCACGAAGGAAAUGAUCUCUUUUGGACGGUUACUGGAGACAAUGUGCAUUCCUUGGCUCUGUGUGACUUUGACGGUGAUGGGAAGACAGAGCUUCUUGUUGGAUCUGAAGAUUUUGACAUUCGAGUUUUUAAAGAAGAUGAGAUUGUGGCAGAAAUGACAGAGACAGAGAUAGUCACCUCUCUGUGUCCUAUGUAUGGCAGUCGGUUUGGUUACGCCCUUUCUAAUGGCACAGUUGGAGUUUAUGACAAAACAGCCCGGUACUGGAGAAUUAAAUCCAAAAACCAUGCCAUGAGCAUCCAUGCUUUUGACAUUAAUUCUGAUGGAGUGUGUGAACUGAUAACCGGGUGGUCUAAUGGGAAGGUUGAUGCUCGCAGUGACCGGACUGGAGAGGUCAUAUUUAAAGACAACUUCUCUUCUGCUGUUGCUGGUGUGGUAGAGGGAGAUUACCGGAUGGAUGGCCACGUACAGUUAAUCUGCUGCUCAGUGGAUGGGGAAAUCCGAGGCUACCUGCCAGGCACAGCUGAGAUGAAGGGGAACCUCCUGGACACAAGUGUGGAGCAGGACCUGAUCCGAGAGCUGAGUCAGAAAAAGCAGAACCUGUUGCUAGAACUUCGCAACUAUGAGGAGAGCACCAAGGCAGAACUGAGCAGUCCCCUGAACGAGGCCGAUGGGCAGAAAGGCAUAAUCCCAGCCAAUACCAGGCUCCACACAGCGCUCUCAGUCAAUAUGGGGAAUGACUUACAAGAUGCGCAUGCGGAAUUAGGCAUUUCCACUUCCAAUGAUACUAUCAUCCGAGCAGUACUAAUUUUUGCAGAGGGAAUUUUUGUGGGUGAAAGCCAUGUGGUCCACCCCAGCAUUCACAACCUUUCCAGCUCCCUCCGGGUACCAAUUACACCUCCCAAAGAUGUCCCUGUGGAUCUGCACCUGAAAACCUUCGUGGGUUACAGAAGCAGCACCCAGUUCCAUGUGUUUGAACUGACAAGACAGCUGCCCCGAUUCACCAUGUAUGCAUUGACAAGCCCAGAUGCAGCUAGCGAGCCUGUCAGCUACGUGAACUUCAGUGUUGCCGAGCGCACACAGAGGUUCCUUGCAAGAUGAAGGCAGAAGGAUCACUUGAACCCAGGAGUUCCUGACCAGCCUUGACUGCAUAGUGAAAAGUCUCAAGGGGGGAAGAUAGAAAAGAUGGUCACGUGGCUCAACCAGAACUUUCUGUUGCCAGAAGACAGUAACGUUCAGAAUUCCCCGUUUCACGUCUGUUUCACAUCGUUACGCAAUGGUGGCCAGCUCUACAUAAAAAUGAAACAAAGUGGUGAGAUCACUGUGAAUACUGACGAUAUUGAUCUAGCUGGUGACAUCAUCCAGUCGAUCGCGUCCUUUUUUGCUAUUGAAGACCUUCAGGUAGAAGCAGAUUUCCCUGUGUACUUCGAGGAACUACGGAAAGUGCUGGUGAAGGUGGAUGAGUAUCAUUCAGUGCAUCAAAAGCUCAGCGCCGACAUGGCUGAUAAUUCUAACCUCAUCCGAAGUUUGCUGGUCAGAGCGGAGGAUGCUCGGCUGAUGAGGGACAUGAAAACAAUGAAGAGUCGUUACAUGGAGCUCUAUGACCUUAAUAAAGAUUUGCUGAAUGGAUACAAGAUUCGCUGUAACAACCACACAGAACUGCUAGGAAACCUGAAGGCGGUGAACCAAGCAAUCCAAAGAGCAGGCCGUCUGCGCGUUGGAAAGCCAAAGAACCAGGUGAUCAGUGCUUGUCGGGAUGCGAUUCGAAGCAACAACAUCAACACCCUCUUCAGAAUCAUGCGAGUGGGCACUGCUCCUUCAUAGGAGACAGGGAAAGAGGAAGGAAGCCCCUGCAAAAGGUCUAGACACGGAGCCUGGCUGGCUCCCGAUCACAGCCUGGGCAUCCAGCUGCUAAGGAUGAAACCAUGCUAACUGAUACAGCUAAGGACAAAGCACUCCGGCUGAAAGCCUCCUUCAUUGAUAUCAGUGGUGUUGCUGAUUUGUAUCUUAAAAUAUAUCACCAUUUCAGAAUUUAACUUGUUUUUGUACAUAAAGUUAGUGUAUGAAUUUAUUCCCCCCGAAAUUGUUACUGAAAUUUAAAAUGGAGUACCUACUUUUUCAUUAAAAAUAAAAGGCACUGGU